rnacentral:rRNA from 1 species
GAUGAACACUAGCGGCGUGCCUGAGAUAUGCAAGUCGAAUGUCUUUUUCUCCGCAAGGAGAGAAGGUAAUGGCGGACGGCUGAGUAACACGUGGGGACCUGCCCUAAAGUAGGGAAUAGCUCACCGAAAGGUGGGGUAAUACUCUAUAUCCAGUUUACUGGAAAGAGCUUAACUGCUCGCUUAAGGAUGGACCUGCGGCCUAUCAGAUAGUUGGUGAGGUAAAGGCUUACCAAGUCUAUGACGGGUAGCUGGCCUGAGAAGGUGGUCAGCCAGAGGAGCACUGAGAUACGGGCUCCACUCCUACGGGAGGCAGCAAUCAGGAAUAGUCGGCAAUGGGCGAAAGCCUGACCGCGCGACGUCGCGUGUAGGAUGAAGCAUUAACGUGUGUAAACUACUGUGGUAAGAGAAGAAAUUCCGAUUUAUCGGAACUGACGGUAUCUUACUAGAAAGAGGCCGCUAACUGCGUGCCAGAAGCGUCGGUAAGACGUGGGCCUCAAGUGUUAUCCGGUGUUAUUGGGCGUAAAGAGUCGUGUAGGUGGCUUAGUAAGUUCUUACUUAAAGACCGGGGCUCAACCUCGGGAAAAGUAAGAAUACUGUUAAACUAGAAUAUUCUCAAGGGAGAUUGGAACUGAAAGAGGAGCAGUGAAAUGCGUUGAUACUUUCAGGAACAUCAGUGGCGAAGGCGAAUCUCUGGGAGAAUAUUGACACUGAGACACGAAAGCUAGGGGAGCGAAGCAGAUUAGAGACCUGCGUAGUCCUAGCCCUAAACCAUGCUUGCUGGCUGCAUUGGCUCCAAUUUAUUGGAGACGGUGUGGCGAAGCUAACGCGUUAAGCAAGCCGCCUGGGGAGUACGGUCGCAAGGCUGAAACUCAAAGGAAUUGGCGGGGAGGCACACAAUCAGUGGAACAUGUGGUUCAAUUCGAAACAAACCGAACAACCUCACCAAGAUUUGACAUGCUAAUGACGACAUUUAGAAACAUUUGUCUUUUAGCAAUAAACAUUAGCACAGGUGCUGCAUGGCUGUCGUCAGCUCGUUCCGUGAGGAGUACCCUUAAGUGGGAUAACGAGCGCAACCCCCGUCCCGAGUUAUAUUUGUCUCGGGAGACUGCUCGUCCUUUGGACGGGAGGAAGGAGGGGCAGACGUCAAGUCAGCAUGGUCCUUAUAUCUUGGGCUACACACAUGUUACAAUGGACAAAGCAGAGGGUCUUGCCACCUGGUAACAGGGAGCUAAUCCAUAAACUUGUCCUCAGUGGGGAUUGGGGUCUGCAACUCGACCUCAUGAACGCGGAAUUGAUAGUAAUCGCGAAUCAGUCAUGUCGCGGUGAAUACGUUCUUGCCUCUUGCACACACCGCCCGUCAAGCCAACAAAGUUGGGAUAGUCUGAACUCUGCCUUAGGCAGAGGAGGAUUGUCUCGGCGAUGGGGGUU